rnacentral:lncRNA from 1 species
CCCACGAAGAACUCGCGUUGGCCCGCAAGCGCCGCGCAGCCCUGGUUCCCGCCCGCGCCUCUCCCUCCACACCUCCCCGCAAGCUGAGGGAGCCAGCUCCGGCCUUGGCCACCCCAGAAAGGGGCUCCCACGGUGCAGCGGCGGGCUGAAGGGCUCCUCAAGUGUGGCCAGAGUGGGCUCCAAGGCCGAGGAGGCGCCCAGAGCGAGCGAGGGCUGGAGGGCUGCCAGCAGGCUGUCACCUCUCAGAAUGAACUUUUAUUAAGAGACUUGGCCAUCAACCUGGCUUCCAUACUAGUUCUUCUUAAUGCCUCCUGCAUCAUUUCCAAGGGUUAUACCUGUGCUCAGCAGGAUGAGUAUGGAGAAACAGAUCUCAGGAGGAAGCUGCUAUGAACCUGGC